CAUGCCCUGGGCUGACUCUCGGUGUCUGAUUGUGUGCGGAGGAGAUCGAACGCGAGAGCGAUCCAACGGUUUCAAGAGACCUUUCGAUCUAUAUAAAUACGGGACCGGCGACGCACACAAACCCUAAUUCCAGAACCAUCCCCUCCGACCUAGGCUAUGGCUUUCAUCGUGUCCAAGCUCGCGCGGGCAGCCCUCGCAUCCCGCCCCGUUGGAGAUAUUGCUGGUGGCAUCUCCCCGUGUCUCUCCCGGCUCUAUCUGGCGGCUAGUACCAGCCGUCGCAUGUUUGCAGCUGCAGGCGGUCCCAAGUCAAAAGAAGCACCCCGAAUAUUUCCCCUUGUUGAUGAGAAUUCCAUUAAGUCGAAGGAAUCCCUAUGGGCCUUGUAUGAAUGCUGGUGCAAGUAUUGGGGGGUAUCCCGUGACCGUGAAGAGAUGGUCCGCCGGUUCAAGUCAUUUGAGGCUACUGCACAGUGGGUUUACAAAAUGAACAACUCUGGGUGUUCGCAAGUGUCUCAACUGGGCCCGCAUGCAGAUAUGUCAGAGAGUGAGUUUGAUCAGGUGUUUCCUCCACUUGAGGAUGAUGAUGAAGACAUAAAAGAGAUGGUGCCAGGUGAAGAUUUGGGCCAGGAGCUUGAGGAGCCCUUAAAUAAUUAAUUUGAGAAAUUAUGAACUUGUCUUACUCCAUCCGUUCCCAAAUAUAAGUCUUUCUAGAGAUUCAACAAGUGACUACAUAUGGAGCAAAAUGAGUGAAUCUGCACUCUAAAAUAUAUCUACAUGCAUACGCAUGUUGUAGUCCAUUUGAAAUGGGUAAACGUUUGGAGCCGGGGCAGUGGCGGAACGCUCGGUUGGUCGCGCGCACAGCGUUGAAUUGUCUCGCGACGAACGCUCCAGUUUACACCACGUCAUCAAGUCAGCCAGCGCACACACACGUGAACAUGGUGGGACCAUGCACCGCUCGUGAGCAACCUUAUCCCCUCCGAUUUCUUUCUCGUUCUCUCCUUUCUCUUCCAGAGUAUGCCUGGGCAGGCCCUUUCCUUCCCCUGCUCCAGAUCAGGGAGCGGCCAUGGCCGGCUCCUACCCCCGCAAAGGCAAAUCGCGGGGGAGGGCCACCACGCGCCAUGUCCUUCCACCCACGUGAGAGGAAACCAUGGCAGGGUGCUCCAUGCUCGCGCAGAUCUUACGAGGAAGGAGGAGACGAUGGAGCGGGGGAGCUGUAGGUGUCGUGCACCGACGGUGCUGCGACAGGGGAAGGGUACACACGCCGGUGAUGGCGUACCCCCACGCGCAACUGGCGAGUGGUGGAGCUGGUCCCUGGCUACGGUGGAGUUGCAAGCGGCAAGGGGCAAAGCUGCAACCGGCAAGCGGCGGAGCUGGAACCGGCCUGAGAAGGAGCUGGAAACAUUGAUUUUUUUGCUGGAAGGUACGGCGUGGGACUGAGCUUCAACACCCAUUUUUUUGCUGGAAGCAGGGAUUUAUUUUGUUGGAAGCAGCAUUUUCUUUUGCUGGAACACUUCUUUCAAAGCUGCGAACAACUUUUUUUUCUGGAAGCAGUGAUUUUUUGUUUUGUUUGAAGCAACAAUUUGUUUUGCUCAAACUAGGCUCUUCAGAGCUACGAUGAUGGAACUACACACUUUUUUGCUGGAAGCGGUGUUUCUUUUAGCUGGAAGCGUCACUUUGGAUUGCUACUGUCGAUGCAUCACGACGAGCGGCAGAGCUUCAUAUCUGCAAUGGGGACAAGAGAAAAGCGACGACAGUUGAGGGAAAAAGCUACAACCAGUGUUUUUUUGCUGUCACCGAUGUGUGGUUUCUUUCACUGGGACGUACGACCUGUGGUGGCGGACGGCCAGCGCCGGCAGCACGGUGAUGCCUCGAGUCAACAGAUUCUUUUCUUACGAUUGACGGCGACGAAGCGUCAGGGAGAGAUUCGACGGCGAGCGUCGGGGGCCAGUGCGGUGACCCGCCGCGACGGGCGAGCGCGCGAGGGUGGGUGCUUCGAGGUCGGUUGUGUGCUCGUUCAUGAAGAGUCCGAGUAGGAAGAACGAGUGGGGGGAGAAACAAGAUCGUUCGGCUAUGAAGCGCUUUUAUCGUGCGGUCCUGGUGUGACCGGCCCAAAGUUGGGCCACACCAGGACCGGCCCAAAGUUGGGCCGGCGCGCCGGCGCCUAUUAGCUCCUUUUGAAAUGUCUAAAAAGACUUAUAUGUAGGAACGGAGGAGUAUUUGGUUGUGGUAAUACUGUGGUACUGGGAUUAUUGUUGUUGUCUGGUGGUUCUCAUGGAACCAAAUUAGAAUUGAAAUAACUUUGUGUUAUUGCUCUAACCACCUUUGCAUUAUGUGCUUGAGAACUUGCAUGAAUAACCUGUGAUGGUUAAGCAGGGAUUGAACCCCUCUGUCGUAUGGUCAUUAGAUAAUCCGAAUAUCAUAGAUGGAUGAUUUUGAA